CCUACGGGCGGCAGCAGUGAGGAAUAUUGGUCAAUGGACGAGAGUCUGAACCAGCCAAGUAGCGUGAAGGAUGACUGCCCUAUGGGUUGUAAACUUCUUUUAUAUGGGAAUAAAACGUUCCACGUGUGGGAUUUUGUAUGUACCAUAUGAAUAAGGAUCGGCUAACUCCGUGCCAGCAGCCGCGGUAAUACGGAGGAUCCGAGCGUUUUCCGGAUUUAUUGGGUUUAAAGGGAGCGUAGGUGGAUUGUUAAGUCAGUUGUGAAAGUUUGCGGCUCAACCGUAAAAUUGCAGUUGAAAAUGGCAGUCUUGAGUACAGUAGAGGUGGGCGGAAUGCGUGGUGUAGCGGUGAAAUGCUUAGAUAUCACGAAGAACUCCGAUUGCGAAGGCAGUUCACUGGACUGCAACUGACACUGAGGCUCGAAAGUGUGGGUAUCAAACAGGAUUAGAUACCCUAGUAGUC
rnacentral:rRNA from 1 species